rnacentral:rRNA from 1 species
GCAACUGGAUGAACUAAGCCAUGCGAGUCUUUGUAGCAAUACAAGGCAGACGGCUCAGUAACACGUAGUCAAUCUACCCUAUAGAUGGGGAUAACCUCGGGAAACUGAGAAUAAUACCCGAUAGAACAUUAUGCCUGGAAUGGCUUAUGUUUCAAAUGAUUUAUCGCCGUAGGAUGGGACUGCGGCCUAUCAGUUUGUUGGUGAGGUAAUGGCCCACCAAGACUAUUACAGGUACGGGCUCUGAGAGGAGUAGCCCGGAGAUGGGUACUGAGACACGGACCCAGGCCCUAUGGGGCGCAGCAGGCGAGAAAACUUUGCAAUGUGCGAAAGCACGACAAGGUUAAUCCGAGUGGUUUCUGCUAAAGAAACCUUUUGCCAGUCCUAGAAACACUGGUGAAUAAGGGGUGGGCAAGUUCUGGUGUCAGCCGCCGCAGUAAAACCAGCACCUCAAGUGGUCAGGAUGAUUAUUGGGCCUAAAGCAUCCGUAGCUCGUUUUGUAAGUUUUCGGUUAAAUCCAUGCGCUCAACGUAUGGGCUGCCGGGAAUACUGCAUAACUAGGAAGUGGGAGAGGUAGACGGUACUCGGUAGGAAGGGGUAAAAUCCUUUGAUCUAUUGAUGACCACCUGUGGCGAAGGCGGUCUACCAGAACACGUUCGACGGUGAGGGAUGAAAGCUGGGGGAGCAAACCGGAUUAGAUACCCGGGUAGUCCCAGCCGUAAACGAUGCGGGCUAGGUGUUGGGGCAGCCACGAGCUGCUCCAGUGCCGCAGGGAAGCUCUUAAGCUCGCCGCCUGGGAAGUACGGCCGCAAGGCUGAAACUUAAAGGAAUUGGCGGGGGAGCACCACAAGGGGUGAAAGGCUGCGGUUUAAUUGGAGUCAACGCCGGG